rnacentral:rRNA from 1 species
GACAGAGGGUGCGAGCGUUACUCGGAAUUACUGGGCGUAAAGAGUAUGUAGGCUGCUAUAUAAGUCUAUGGUGAAAUCCUGGGGCUCAACCCCAGUGCUGCCAAUGAUACUAUAUAGCUAGAGAGUGGGAGAGGUAGAUAGAAUUUCUAUAGUAGGGGUUAAAUCCGUAGAUAAUAGAAGGAAUAACAAAAGCGAAGGCAAUCUACUGGAACAUUUCUGACGCUGAGAUACUAAAGCGUGGGGAGCAAACAGG